GUCGGAUAAUCGCGCUCGAAAGAGUGAGGAAAGUCCGUGCAUCUUAGAACAGCUCCCCUGAGAAACUCAGGACGGUGUGAGCCGGUGGAUAGUGCCACAGAAAUGUAGACUGCCUGCGAAGCGUGUGUGACGUACGGCGAUGGUGCAACGGUGAGUUAAGAGCUUCACCAGCGAUAUCGAGAGGUAUCGGCUAGGUAAACCCGGAGCGGAUGCAAGAUUAAAUCUAAGGUUAAAGGCUGUUCGCCCACUUAGGAAAAAUCGCUAGAGUUUGUGAGCAAUCACAUCCCCAGACAGAUGAUUAUCUAGAAACAGAACACGGCUUAUGAGCUGCUUU
rnacentral:RNase_P_RNA from 1 species